CUGCCGGCGACCGGCGCACGGGUGAGUAACACGUAUGCAACCUGCCCUCCGCAGGGGGAUAACCCGGAGAAAUCCGGACUAAUACCGCGUGGUACACCAGUUGGGCAUCCCACGGGUGUUAAAAGGAAGCGAUUCCGGCGGAGGAUGGGCAUGCGGCGCAUUAGCUUGUUGGCGGGGUAACGGCCCACCAAGGCGACGAUGCGUAGGGGUUCUGAGAGGAAGGUCCCCCACACUGGUACUGAGACACGGACCAGACUCCUACGGAAGGCAGCAG
rnacentral:rRNA from 1 species